CAAGCCUGAUCCAGCCAUGCCGCGUGGGUGAAGAAGGCCUUCGGGUUGUAAAGCCCUUUUGUUGGGAAAGAAAAGCAGCCGGCCAAUACCCGGUUGUUCUGACGGUACCCGGAGAAGAAGCCCCGGCUAACUUCGUGCCAGCAGCCGCGGUAAUACGAAGGGGGCUAGCGUUGCUCGGAAUUACUGGGCGUAAAGGGCGCGUAGGCGGACUGUUUAGUCAGAGGUGAAAGCCCAGGGCUCAACCUUGGAAUUGCCUUUGAUACUGGCAGUCUUGAGUACGGAAGAGGUGUGUGGAACUCCGAGUGUAGAGGUGAAAUUCGUAGAUAUUCGGAAGAACACCAGUGGCGAAGGCGACACACUGGUCCGUUACUGACGCUGAGGCGCGAAAGCGUGGGGAGCAAACA
rnacentral:rRNA from 1 species